rnacentral:rRNA from 1 species
AGAGUUUGAUCCUGGCUCAGGAUGAACGCUAGCGGCAGGCUUAAUACAUGCAAGUCGAGGGGCAGCACGUCUUCGGAUGGUGGCGACCGGCGCACGGGUGCGUAACACGUAUGCAACCUACCUUUAACUGGGGAAUAGCCCCGAGAAAUCGGGAUUAAUACCCCAUAAUAUUCAUUUUUCGCAUGAUUUAUGAAUUAAAACUCCGGUGGUUAAAGAUGGGCAUGCGCGACAUUAGUUAGUUGGUGAGGUAACGGCUCACCAAGACAGCGAUGUCUAGGGGUUCUGAGAGGAAUAUCCCCCACACUGGUACUGAGACACGGACCAGACUCCUACGGGAGGCAGCAGUAAGGAAUAUUGGUCAAUGGGCGAAAGCCUGAACCAGCCAUGCCGCGUGCAGGAUGAAGGCCCUAUGGGUUGUAAACUGCUUUUAUAUAGGAAGAAACUCCCGUACGUGUACGGGACUGACGGUACUAUACGAAUAAGGACCGGCUAACUCCGUGCCAGCAGCCGCGGUAAUACGGAGGGUCCAAGCGUUAUCCGGAUUUAUUGGGUUUAAAGGGUGCGCAGGCGGACCGAUAAGUCAGUGGUGAAAUCCUACAGCUCAACUGUAGAACUGCCAUUGAUACUGUCGAUCUUGAGUACGGUUGAAGUAGGCGGAAUGUAUCAUGUAGCGGUGAAAUGCAUAGAUAUGAUACAGAACUCCGAUAGCGAAGGCAGCUUACUAGGCCGUAACUGACGCUCAGGCACGAAAGCGUGGGGAGCAAACAGGAUUAGAUACCCUGGUAGUCCACGCCGUAAACGAUGAUCACUCGUUGUUGGCAAUACACAGUCAGCGACUGAACGAAGCAUUAAGUGAUCCACCUGGGAAGUACGAUCGCAAGGUUGAAACUCAAAGGAAUUGACGGGGGCCCGCACAAGCGGAGGAGCAUGUGGUUUAAUUCGAUGAUACGCGAGGAACCUUACCUGGGCUUAAAUGUAUAAUGACCGGCUGGGAAACCAGUCUUCUCUUCGGAGCAUUUUACAAGGUGCUGCAUGGUUGUCGUCAGCUCGUGCCGUGAGGUGUCGGGUUAAGUCCCAUAACGAGCGCAACCCCUAUUCUUAGUUGCCAUCAGAUAAUGCUGGGGACUCUAAGGAAACUGCCUACGCAAGUAGUGAGGAAGGUGGGGAUGACGUCAAAUCAGCACGGCCCUUAUGUCCAGGGCUACACACGUGCUACAAUGGUCGGUG